rnacentral:tRNA from 1 species
UGGUGAGGUGUCCGAGUGGCUGAAGGAGCACGCCUGGAAAGUGUGUAUACGGCAACGUAUCGGGGUUCGAAUCCCCCCCUCACCGCCAU